rfam:Myotis davidii contig49914, whole genome shotgun sequence.
GGUGGUUCUCCGGUGAUGCACCCCGGAAUCGGGCUCCCUCCUCUCUGGUUCUGGCUGCGUCACCGGAGAACCACA